CUGGUACGUGCCUGCGGCCUCGGCGAGCCGCCCGCUGCAGGACCGAGCCCUCCACGGGCGGUAGAAAUCCUGCCCAGCUGCCCUCUGCGGCGAUUCCUACUUCUUCAGGAUGCGGCCCGACAAAACCAGAGUCCUUGACGUCCCCUGUUGAAGCCCAGAGGCUGCUGCCAAAUGCUUCCAUAGGCUGCCAGGAGAGGAAAGCACUUCUCCCGUACAUGAGCCGUGGCAAGCCAAAGUGCCAGGGACUGAGAAUGAGCACCUCAAGGCCAUCUCAAACAUCAAAGCCAGCAGCAGGUGCAGGGAAGAAAUGGACAAGGGUGUGGGUUGUGGAUCCACAGCAGAAAAUUAGAGAUGGGGCAAAAAGAGGCACAUUCAGGAGACCUGGAUCUGUCCUUUUCCUCAUGUUGGGUUCAUCUCGGUGUUUGCAUGGGCAUGUGGGCCAGUGAUGCCAGAACAGCUGGGCAGGAAGCCCAGCAACGCAGUCCUGAAGAACAAUUGUAGUUACUUGCAGGAAAGAAAGCAACAUUUCCAAAGUGUCUACAUUGGCAUCUGAGAACAUUAAAAGUUGCUUUCAUUUCUUACACUACUAGUAGCAUACUACAGUGAGCACAGUGAAUUUUCACUGUCCCCAGCUGAGGAGUUCCUUACCUGCCCAGGUAAGGAUUUACAGUUCACUUCAGUACGCUCAGAAGAUUUUUGCCUCUCUCUUCCUUUCUCCCGAUCUUUUUUCUCAUGUUCUUGCUUCCUCUCUGCCACUUUUCUGCUCCUCCGUCAUAAAGCCUACAGAUGGCACAACCAGCACUACAGCCCAGGUAUUCCCACUGCUCCAUCUUCUUUAGUGACCAUUUGCCAUUUGAGAUGAAUAAAAUAGUGCUGAAUAAAACUGAUGCCUUGUCAGGAAGAAAAUUUUUUUUCUGAAGGCCUAAUAAGAAAAGAUCAACAAAACCGGCCCUAACAGAGUCUUUCCGACUUGCACAUGUAGCACAAAUGCUGCUUUCAUUUACUGCCUCCACAGAUUUAGCCUUCAUCUCCAUUCUGCCCCUCUCCAACAGCUGCAUUUCCCCAGGAGGCUUUGUUUAGAGGCCUGCGUUCUGUGAGCUUUUAAUGUCUACUGUACAACAGGAAAUAUGGCAUCAUGUGAGAACGAUCAAUAGCACUGCUCCCUUUUGGGGUGCUACAAAGACAGCAGUGUGGCAAUCUGAGAUGUCAGAUGUUCAUUUUUUUCCUCCAUAAACUUUAAUGGCCAGUUUGUAGACAAGGCGUUAGUCACAUCCACAACACCUCGAUUUGAGAUAAGGGCAGGAGGUGAAUUCAGCUAAUGAACAGGUAAAUCUACUUAUUUUCAGCUAUUUUCUUUCAAGUCAGGGGCAGAUGAGCUUGGUCCUUAUCCUGAGCUCUUGAAUACAGACCGGUGGAAGCACAGGUGGAUGAGGGAGGCUUACAGUUGGAGCUGUAGUUCUUUCUACUGCUCUCCCUUUGCUGCCUAUCCAAGCUCUUGCAUAUUUCAAAUAUUGACACAGCUGCAAAGUGUUCUCGCUGGAGCUGGGCUUACAUGCUACGUUUGAAGCGUGUGCCCUCUGUGACAGCACAACUGGGAGAGAUGGGGGAGGAGCAGAGGGAAAGGAAGGGGAGAAGCCAGGCUCCUAUUGCUUGAUCUACUGACCUGUAACACCUUUCUUUAUUCUAAAGCGAUUGGAGAGAACAACUGGGAGCUGUUAUGAAGUGGUAGUGAGAGAAACACUGUUGUAAAUGAUUCAUUUCAUGCUUGAUCUGAGUAUGUAGGUGCAGGCCUGUGCUAUGUUGCAUAUAGUGGACUAAGCCUAAGGAGCCCGUAGGUGGCUCCCCUGGGCACCUUGUGAUGAUGCCACCACCAUGUCCCUGUCUUUGCCUUAGCAGCAGCAUGUUCCCAUGUCAACAUCCUUUUGUCUGACAAUAAAAUGAUGAAUAGAGCUAUUUACUUCUAAGGAAAUCCUGUCAAAACCCUCAACACUGUGAUGCUGGUGGAGCCUCAACAUGGAUGGGAUCUGCGCAGUACGCCAUGGCUUGACUGGACAUCUGGUUGAUGCUGUACACCUUGGGGUUCACAACAUCUGUACAGAUGUAAGAUUGUCUCUUGCUAUCCCCCUUUCUGACAUUAUCUCCAAUAAAUUGUAUUUUAAUUAAUA